AAGUUCUCGCCUAUAUCCAGGAUCUCCUGAAAAACUGCCGUUAUCGAACUUUA
rnacentral:tRNA from 1 species